rnacentral:rRNA from 1 species
GAUGAACGCUGGCGGCGUGCCUAAUACAUGCAAGUCGAGCGAACAGACGAGGAGCUUGCUCCUCUGACGUUAGCGGCGGACGGGUGAGUAACACGUGGAUAACCUACCUACAAGACUGGGAUAACUUCGGGAAACCGGAGCUAAUACCGGAUAAUAUAUUGAACCGCAUGGUUCAAUAGUGAAAGACGGUUUUGCUGUCACUUAUAGAUGGAUCCGCGCCGCAUUAGCUAGUUGGUAAGGUAACGGCUUACCAAGGCAACGAUGCGUAGCCGACCUGAGAGGGUGAUCGGCCACACUGGAACUGAGACACGGUCCAGACUCCUACGGGAGGCAGCAGCAGGGAAUCUUCCGCAAUGGGCGAAAGCCUGACGGAGCAACGCCGCGUGAGUGAUGAAGGUCUUCGGAUCGUAAAACUCUGUUAUUAGGGAAGAACAAAUGUGUAAGUAACUAUGCACGUCUUGACGGUACCUAAUCAGAAAGCCACGGCUAACUACGUG